UCUAUACGAUACAUCUACGGCUUUAGAAAUAGUGAUUGUAUCUAUAAACGUAGCUCUACUUCUAAACUUUACUUCGCCAACGAUAAGAAUGAAAUAUGAACGUUCAUGUGAAAACGUGAUGGUAUGAACGAUUUCCUUCAAUUUUUCUAUAAUCGUAAAACCGAAUUUAAACCGUUACACGUACCGUCCAUCCCUCCUGUCAUUCACGUCAAAAUGAACGAAACGCCCGGUCAGAGAUGCCAGAUGGUUUUGUACAAAAAUCAGUACACAUUUAUGAAAAUAGUUUUAAAUUUUUUUUACGAUCAUCAUACUAAACGAGGGUCAUAGCUCUUUAAUUUACAAGAUGCUUUUGACAAUUGUUAACGCUUUAUGCAAGAUUAUGCUAUAAAAAAAGGAAAAUUUCUUCACGAAUCUAUGGAACUCAUUACGAUUUUAUGUCAUUUGUGAUUAAAUAACAUGCAUGUUAAAAAAAACCACCAGCAAACACAAAUUUGGUGUGUGACAUAUGAACAGGCGACAUAGAAACAUCAAAGUUAUAAAUCUUUUUUAUUUUCACAUUUUAAUUUCAUAUCGGUAAAAUUUUGAAAAGUCGUUUUGGUCGGCACCACUGCCGACAACUGGAAGAGAAGAAAACAAAAAAAAAACAACUUUGUUUUUCGCGUUCCACAUAAGUAACAUUCACUCCAGCAGAGCAACAAAAGUCCCCUCCGAUUGGGGUCCGACGGACGGAAAAGGAUUUUUAGAACAACCGGAAGAAGGAAACCAUGCGAUGUUCGCAACAGCAACGGGAGCUGGAGGAGCGAAGUCGUCAUGCUUGGAAGAAUAAUGUCCGGUGCGACUUCUGGAUCCAGCAAUGACCAGGACUUAGGCCAACAUCCCGCCCGUGUGUUCUGAAUUUGUGUGUUCCUGAUGAAGGUGCUAAUUAUGCAAGUGAAUAAAAUGAAAAUUGAUAAAAUUUAAAAA